CAUCGACGGUAGAUAAAGGGCUGGACCGGAAGUGGCUCUGGCUGUGCGCGCGUGUGUGUGCGGGUGUGUGUGUGCGCGUGUCCGUGUGCGCGUGUCCGUGUGUGCGCGUGUGCGUGUCCGUCCGUGUGUGUGUGUGAGGCGUCAGCCACGCUCCUUCCCUACACGUUGAUCUUAUUCGAUCGGCCGGGCUCCGCCGGGCCGAGGUGAGAAGAAAGCGCUGCGAAGCCCUCGGGCGCUGUGCGGCUGGGCCGGGCGGGAUGAGUCGAUCAGAUAGGCGAGGCCACGGCCGCUGAGCGCCCUGCGAUUCUGACCCGC